rnacentral:rRNA from 1 species
UACGUAGGGUGCGAGCGUUGUCCGGAAUUACUGGGCGUAAAGAGCUCGUAGGUGGUUUGUCGCGUUGUUCGUGAAAACCGGGGGCUUAACCCUCGGCGUGCGGGCGAUACGGGCAGACUGGAGUACUGCAGGGGAGACUGGAAUUCCUGGUGUAGCGGUGGAAUGCGCAGAUAUCAGGAGGAACACCGGUGGCGAAGGCGGGUCUCUGGGCAGUAACUGACGCUGAGGAGCGAAAGCGUGGGGAACGAACAGG